CGUUGGUCCAUAUGUCUACCCUUGUUCCGGUACCACGUUUUUAUUACUGUAGUUUGUAGUAAGUUUCAAAAUCGGAAAAGCACUGAGCACAGGCCCUGACAUAUGGUAGCAAUGCAAUAAAUGUUUGUUACGUGAGUGAAUGGAUGAAAAAGCAAAAGAAUAAAGACUUUGCUCUUCACAUGGGUGACCUGGGACUUCCUCAUGACUCUUUAUCAGAGGAUUUAAGACAAAGGGAAGCCUUUGGAAGCAGGGCCUGUGCACCCCCUUGUGUCACCUGGAUGGAAUGUGCUGCCAGCGUUACUUCUCUGCCAAAGAACAGACCUUCCCAAGGCUGAGGAGGAGGCAGCCCUUGCAUGGGACACCGUGACGGAAAUCAAAGCACAAGACAGUGUCGUUUGUCUUUAUCUGCUUAGGGAUUUUUCCUUACCUGUGAAGUGAUCUGGGCUUUCGAGUACAUUGUUAGAUAUGAUUCUCUUUUUAUAGUAGCCCAGCUUUGGUACAAUGCCAUUUUGUGUAAUUAAAAAUAUGUUUAACAGUAGCAUAUUCAUUGUAGAAAAUACGGAAAGUGUUGAAAAAUCAUUGAAUUACCAUCCCUUGGAGAUAGCGACUCAACAUUUUGAUGUAUUUUAUCCCAAUAUUUUUCUCUCUCUCUCUAUAUAAAUUAUAUAAUGGAUAGUAUAAUAAGG
rnacentral:lncRNA from 1 species